rnacentral:lncRNA from 1 species
UGUGCUCUGGGGACCGCUGCAUCCUCAGGCUGUGGACAAGGAAGCGGAGGGUCACCCAGACAAGAGGAGGUGCUGGAGGUCACACAGUGAAUAUGCCUCACUGGCCUUCCCGUCUGGCGUGUCUUCCUCUGCCCCCAUCCAGGGAGGAUCACCUGAGCCCAGGAGGUCAAGGCUUCAGUGAGCUGCGAUCUCACUGUCAGGCCUCUGAGCCUAAGCUAAGCCAUCGCAUCCCCGGUGACUUGCACGUAUACGCCCAGAUGGCCUGAAGUAACUGAAGAAUCACAAAAGAAGUGAAAAUGCCCUGCCCCGCCUUAACUGAUGACAUUCCACCACAAAAGAAGUGAAAAUGGCCGGUCCUUGCCUUAACUGAUGACAUUGUCUUGUGAAAUUCCUUUUCCUGGCUCAUUCUGGCUCAGAAAGCUCCCCCAGUGAGCACCCUGUGACCCCCACAACUGCCCACCAGAGAACAACCCCCUUUCUAAUUUUCCUUUACCUACCCAAAUCCUAUAAAACGGCCCACCCUUAUCUCCCUUCACUGACUCUCUUGUCGGACUCAGCCCACCUGCACCCAGGUGAUUAAAAGCUUUAUUGCUCACACAAA